rnacentral:rRNA from 1 species
CCUACGGGAGGCAGCAGUGAGGAAUAUUGGUCAAUGGGAGAGAUCCUGAACCAGCCAAGCCGCGUGAGGGAAGACGGCCCUAUGGGUUGUAAACCUCUUUUGUCGGAGAACAAAACCCGGGACGUGUCCCGGACUGCGUGUAUCCGAAGAAAAAGCAUCGGCUAACUCCGUGCCAGCAGCCGCGGUAAUACGGAGGAUGCGAGCGUUAUCCGGAUUUAUUGGGUUUAAAGGGUGCGUAGGCGGUCCGUUAAGUCAGCGGGAAAAUUGCGGGGCGCAACCCCGUCGAGCCGUUGAAACGGGCAGACUUGAGUUGGCGAGAAGUACGCGGAAUGCGCGGUGUAGCGGUGAAAUGCAUAGAUAUCGCGCAGAACUCCGAUUGCGAAGGCAGCGUACCGGCGCCAGACUGACGCUGAGGCACAAAAGCGUGGGGAUCGAACAGGAUUAGAUACCCCAGUAGUC